rnacentral:rRNA from 1 species
AGAGUUUGAUCCUGGCUCAGGACGAACGCUGGCGGCGUGCCUAAUACAUGCAAGUCGAACGCUUCUUUUUCCACCGGAGCUUGCUCCACCGGAAAAAGAGGAGUGGCGAACGGGUGAGUAACACGUGGGUAACCUGCCCAUCAGAAGGGGAUAACACUUGGAAACAGGUGCUAAUACCGUAUAACAAUCGAAACCGCAUGGUUUUGAUUUGAAAGGCGCUUUCGGGUGUCGCUGAUGGAUGGACCCGCGGUGCAUUAGCUAGUUGGUGAGGUAACGGCUCACCAAGGCCACGAUGCAUAGCCGACCUGAGAGGGUGAUCGGCCACAUUGGGACUGAGACACGGCCCAAACUCCUACGGGAGGCAGCAGUAGGGAAUCUUCGGCAAUGGACGAAAGUCUGACCGAGCAACGCCGCGUGAGUGAAGAAGGUUUUCGGAUCGUAAAACUCUGUUGUUAGAGAAGAACAAGGAUGAGAGUAACUGUUCAUCCCUUGACGGUAUCUAACCAGAAAGCCACGGCUAACUACGUGCCAGCAGCCGCGGUAAUACGUAGGUGGCAAGCGUUGUCCGGAUUUAUUGGGCGUAAAGCGAGCGCAGGCGGUUUCUUAAGUCUGAUGUGAAAGCCCCCGGCUCAACCGGGGAGGGUCAUUGGAAACUGGGAGACUUGAGUGCAGAAGAGGAGAGUGGAAUUCCAUGUGUAGCGGUGAAAUGCGUAGAUAUAUGGAGGAACACCAGUGGCGAAGGCGGCUCUCUGGUCUGUAACUGACGCUGAGGCUCGAAAGCGUGGGGAGCAAACAGGAUUAGAUACCCUGGUAGUCCACGCCGUAAACGAUGAGUGCUAAGUGUUGGAGGGUUUCCGCCCUUCAGUGCUGCAGCUAACGCAUUAAGCACUCCGCCUGGGGAGUACGACCGCAAGGUUGAAACUCAAAGGAAUUGACGGGGGCCCGCACAAGCGGUGGAGCAUGUGGUUUAAUUCGAAGCAACGCGAAGAACCUUACCAGGUCUUGACAUCCUUUGACCACUCUAGAGAUAGAGCUUCCCCUUCGGGGGCAAAGUGACAGGUGGUGCAUGGUUGUCGUCAGCUCGUGUCGUGAGAUGUUGGGUUAAGUCCCGCAACGAGCGCAACCCUUAUUGUUAGUUGCCAUCAUUCAGUUGGGCACUCUAGCAAGACUGCCGGUGACAAACCGGAGGAAGGUGGGGAUGACGUCAAAUCAUCAUGCCCCUUAUGACCUGGGCUACACACGUGCUACAAUGGGAAGUACAACGAGUNNNNNNNNNNGCGAAGUCGCGAGGCUAAGCUAAUCUCUUAAAGCUUCUCUCAGUUCGGAUUGCAGGCUGCAACUCGCCUGCAUGAAGCCGGAAUCGCUAGUAAUCGCGGAUCAGCACGCCGCGGUGAAUACGUUCCCGGGCCUUGUACACACCGCCCGUCACACCACGAGAGUUUGUAACACCCGAAGUCGGUGAGGUAACCUUUUGGAGCCAGCCGCCUAAGGUGGGAUAGAUGAUUGGGGUGAAGUCGUAACAAGGUAGCCGUAUCGGAAGGUGCGGCUGGAUCACCU